rnacentral:misc_RNA from 1 species
GCAAACUUGGUCAUUUAGAGGAAGUAAAAGUCGUAACAAGGUAACCGUAGGUGAACCUGCGGUUGGAUCAUUACAAAAAUGACCUGAUGGCGUGGGGGGUUUCGAUCCCCGACGCUGUCACAUUCCACACCCUUGUGAACCAUAGAAAUGUAUUUUGGCAGCAAGCAGAGGAGCGGGUUUUGGGGUUCCUUGGUUUUUGAUUAUUUGAGAGCCAAGGGUUCAAGACUUUUUGUUUCUUUGGGUGCUGCCAGACUGUGACAUUCACCAUGUUUUUCCACUGUCUCGCGUCUUAAAAACAAAAAUAGUCAAUGAGAAACAACUUUAGACAACGGAUCUCUUGGCUCUCGCAUCGAUGAAGAACGCAGC